AGUCAGCCUCGCACUAGUCAGUCACUUUUUGAACAUUAUUGUCAUCGAAAUUUGGUGCGAUGCCAAUGUCGUGUGUCGCUUACGGCUGCAGCUUCCAUGACCAUUCCAGCAGCACAGUGUGGUUUUUCCGAUUUCCGUCAGUAAAACGCGAUCGACAGCGCCGUGAAGCCUGGAUUAGGGCUGUGAAGCGGCAAGAUGCGCAAGGGCGUCCAUGGCAGCCGUCGGCAGCAUCUUGACUGUGCAGGAAGCACUUUGUGACAGGGGCACCUUCACUGUCACCCAGACCUCUGGACUUCAUACCGACGCUAUUUGUGUACAUGGACCAGUUCAAAAAAAAAAAAAUGGACGCUGUCGACCUGUUCGUACCGCGGCGCAUUCGAAGAGGAAAACAGGCACCCCCCAAACAGGAGGUGCAGCGGUUUCAGGUCAAGGAGGAGCUUGUUAAGGUCACCAUGAUGGGGAAGCAGACAUGUCCUGUGUUCAGGGUGCAGACUCUUCAUUCGAGGAGCAAGGGGCAGCUGAUGCACUCUUGCUGCUUGCAACAUCCCGAAUGCUCACCGAGCCACAGGAGGUCCUAGAGCCAACGUCCUUAAGCAGAGAAGAGAACACUGACCACCUUUUAGCUGAAAAUAUGGCCUUACAAUGCAGCAGGCACAAAGGCACACUUUCUCCUCCUACAAGCACUACAACACAUUCAAAGCACUUGUUGGAGUAACACCAGACGCUAUGUUUCAUUUGUGCCAGAUUUGUGGGGGAGAGCAUCUUAGUGAUAGCGAAGUUGUUGAAAAAUCAGGCCUAGUGGGUUUUUAGAUGCAGGGGAUGGUGUGAUGGUUGACAUAGGCUUUAGGUUGGAGGGUGUUUUGUCACCAUCUAUUCAAAUCCACAUGCCACCAUUUAAAAUGGGGAAUUAGUUGUCAGCUAAUGAUGUGAUUGCUACAUGAAAAAUAGCUGGCGCUAGGAUCCAUGUUGAGCGAGUUAUAAGAUGGAUCAAAGAAUUUCAUUUUUUAGACAAACCUCUGCCAAUCAACAUGCUCGACAUUGCGGACAGCAUUUCUAGGACUUGUGCCUUUCUGUGCAAUUUUCAGCACCCAAUCAUGUCAGUCCAUAAUGAGAACAAGUAGCCAGCUGAAACAGUUCAGCUACUCAAAAUGAGCCUCUUUGCAAUGCUCAUGACCAGAAGAAACUAGGGUAUGUACCGACAGUCUACUCUCGUGCCAUAUAGCAUGUGCUUACGACGCUGUCUACUGUACUACCUUCUGGGGCAAUUUGUAUCUUGCGUCUUUCUGAAUAAAUGAUACUGCUUUUCCAGUUCUCUUCCAUGUACACAGCAUAUAUUCAAAUUUUUUAUUAUGUUCAUAUACAUAAUG